UUUGAUGUGAAUUGAUUUAUGUUUGAAUACACACACUUAAAAAUGGUUCUUAAGAGUUAUGUUGUUUGGAUAG
rnacentral:pre_miRNA from 1 species